rnacentral:rRNA from 1 species
UACGUAGGGGGCGAGCGUUGUCCGGAUUUAUUGGGCGUAAAGAGCGUGUAGGCGGUCAGGUAGGUCUGCUGUGAAAACUCGAGGCUCAACCUCGAGACGUCGGCGGAAACCAUCUGGCUAGAGUCCGGAAGAGGAGAGUGGAAUUCCUGGUGUAGCGGUGAAAUGCGCAGAUAUCAGGAAGAACACCCGUGGCGAAGGCGGCUCUCUGGGACGGUACUGACGCUGAGACGCGAAAGCGUGGGGAGCGAACAGG